UAAACAUUAAACAUUUGGGUCACCUGGGUUUUAAUGGAGUUUCGUGCUUGAAAUCAUACAGAAAUUAACCAUAUCUACAAAUGGCUAGUGACCCAAUUAAGCCAUUAUAUUUUGAGAAAGCUAAGUCCUAUAUAUAUUAAAAAUUUUCAAAAAAGCUUAACUGCUAAUCAUUGUUUUCGGGAGUGUAUGUAUAAAGUAUUUGGAAGUCAUUUUUCAAAUUUGUCUUUCUGUGCAUGUGCUUUACAGUUGGUGUACAACAUGGAGAAGAGGUUCCAGGAGAUUUUCAAUUUUAUGUCUAGGGGUGAAUUCCCUAAUUUAUAGUGAAUCUCAGAAAUGUGCUUUAAGAAGAUAUAUGCAGAAGCUCAAACUGAAGGUCCCAAACAGAAGCACGAUCACUGUUUAAUGAAGUACACUCGGCUUCAAUUGGUGCACACACAGGCACUGUUAAAACCAGAUCCUCAAUGUACUCCAGAAAUUAUUGGGAUGGCAUGACGGUGGACAUUGACUGAUGGGUCUCUGAAUGCGACGGAUGUCAGAGGACUGGUAACUCUUUGGCUGUGUGUGACACAGCCAUUACAAAGCAUUAAGGUGUCUGCUGUUUGGGAUAGACCUGACUGGGCCUCUCCCAAAAACCAAGGAUGGCUUUCAGUACAUUCUUACUGCCACCGAUUAUUUUUCCAAACACAGAUGCCCCCAAAGAAUCCUGUCCAACCAAGGAAGAGAAUUUGUCAAUUAGCUCAACGAUAACCUUUGUGCCCUCCUGUGCAUUGAAAGGAGUGUUACAGCUGCAUAUCAUCCUAAGACGAAUGGGCUGGAUGAGAGGACAAAGAGCAACAUAAAACGGCAAGUUUUUGUUGUUGUCGGUGUUCUAAAAUGUAUAUCUAAUUGUACCCUUCUACUUCGUACAGCUCUUACAAAAUUGGUGAACGACCGACAGGAUUUGUUUGGUGGUUUGGCCUAUUCAGUAGAUAAUUUUGACCGGAUGGUCAUCUGGUCAAGUGCCGUAAAUAAUAACUUUUUUUGAUUUAACAAUGUUGUGUUUUCAGUGAAAUUACUGUGGGCUGCAGAGGACCAAGGCAAGGUGGAGGCUGUCGUUGGACCGUAUAAAUUAUAUGACAUGUCUUUUCAUACGCUAAAAGGCAACGGCUGGCUGUCUGAUGAAGAGCCCAUUCACCAACUCUCUGCUGUGGUAGCUGGGAGUCUGCUUUUGGGAAAAUUUCAGCCUGUUAGAAAGAGGAAAUUCCCUGUUGAAAAAAAAGUGUAUUUGUCCUGUCCUGUCCUGUAUGCGCUCAUUGGAUUUUAGUGAGAACACUGGUGAUCAACGAUCCCUUGAGUAACGAGGACAAAUAUGAGCAAAAUUUUGCGGAAUUGGAGGAACUUCUUGAGGUUGGCGGGCCGUGAGUUCCAAAUAGAAACUUGGACUACCAAAACUGUGGCCCAUAACAAGCAGCAGAACAACAGUAGCUGUGGGGUUUUCACAUUAAAGUUUGCGGAAGAGUAUAUGGCCAAUGGAGAUCUCAGGCACAACCAGACCCACCUUCCCGAAGUUCUGAAGGCUCGAGGAGAUCUAGCCUGUGCCCUCCUACAGGCUGGGAGUCUGAGAUGUCUAUUUAAAUUAAAAAAAAAAUGUCUCAAAACUUACUUGGUCUCCUCACCUCACAUAAUUGAACUCCUGAUUGCUCUCAAUGUCACUAUUUACUUUCAAAGGCAUCCAAAGAACAGAUCUGAGGAUUUGCUGCUGCGCUUUAUCCUCUCUUGCCAUCAUUGAUCACUUAUUAGGUUUGUCGCGAUAAAAAAAGUGUUUA